UGUCUAGUAGUUCAGUGGUAGAACGCCACACUGUUAAUGUGGAUGUCGCUGGUUCGAACCCAGCCUGGACAG
rnacentral:tRNA from 2 species